CAGCCGCCGCGGUAAUACGGAGGAGGCUAGCGUUGUUCGGAAUUACUGGGCGUAAAGCGCACGUAGGCGGCUUGGUAAGUUAGAGGUGAAAGCCCGGAGCUCAACUCCGGAAUUGCCUUUAAGACUGCCGAGCUAGUAGGUGAGAGAGGUAAGUGGAAUUCCGAGUGUAGAGGUGAAAUUCGUAGAUAUUCAGAAGAACACCAGUGGCGAAGGCGGCUUACUGGCUCAUUCUAGACGCUGAGGUGCGAAAGCGUGGGGAGCAAACAGGAUUAGAUACCCCAGUAGUCCCUGUCUCUUAUAC
rnacentral:rRNA from 1 species